CAGAAAAUUUACCUGCUGUAUUUUCUCUUACAGCUAGGAACACUUCGCUUCCUAGAGACAUCGCACUUCACCAUCUCGUCGCUACUCAUUCUGCUUGGCACAACCAAAGAAACCAUCAACGCCAGGUUUUGCACAAGCCCAUCAUUCUGGUGCCGGCCAGUAAUCCAAUUCACUCGUACCUUCUUUGUGGAGAAGGAACUGUUACUGGCUGGCACAGAAUUUUUCAUCACCAUUCUCGUCUUCAUCUGCCCCAACAUUUAUGUUUGUUUUUGUUGCUUUCACCAAAGGUGCGAAAAAAAUAAACCACUACAAAAACAUGAUAA